rnacentral:rRNA from 1 species
GCACAAUGGGGGAAACCCUGAUGCAGCCAUGCCGCGUGUGUGAAGAAGGCCUUCGGGUUGUAAAGCACUUUCAGUAGGGAGGAAGGUAGUGUAGUUAACACCUGCAUUAUUUGACGUUACCUACAGAAGAAGCACCGGCUAACUCCGUGCCAGCAGCCGCGGUAAUACGGAGGGUGCGAGCGUUAAUCGGAAUUACUGGGCGUAAAGCGCAUGCAGGCGGCCUGUUAAGUCAGAUGUGAAAGCCCGGGGCUUAACCUCGGAAUUGCAUUUGAAACUGGCAGGCUAGAGUCUUGUAGAGGGGGUAGGAAUUUCAGGUGUAGCGGUGAAAUGCGUAGAGAUCUGAAGGAAUACCAGUGGCGAAGGCGGCCCCCUCGGACAAAGACUGACGCUCAGAUGCGAAAGCGUGGGGAGCAAACAGGAUUAGAUACCCUGGUAG